rnacentral:rRNA from 1 species
ACGUAGGGACCAAGCGUUGUUCGGAUUUACUGGGCGUAAAGGGCGCGUAGGCGGCAAUUCAAGUCAGUUGUGAAAUCUCCGAGCUUAACUCGGAACGGUCAACUGAUACUGUUUUGCUAGAGUACAGAAGGGGCAAUCGGAAUUCUUGGUGUAGCGGUGAAAUGCGUAGAUAUCAAGAGGAACACCUGAGGUGAAGACGGGUUGCUGGGCUGAUACUGACGCUGAGGCGCGAAAGCUAGGGUAGCAAACGGGAUUAGAUACCCCGGUAGUCCUAGCCCUAAACGAUGUAUGUUUGGUGUCUGGAGUAUUAUUCUCUGGGUGCCGUCGCUAACGUUUUUAACAUACCGCCUGGGGAGUACGCACGCAAGUGUG